rnacentral:rRNA from 1 species
GACGGAGGAUGCAAGUGUUAUCCGGAAUCACUGGGCGUAAAGCGUCUGUAGGUGGUUCGAAAAGUCCACUGUUAAAAAUUGAAGCUUAACUUCAAAGAUGCCGUGGAAACUCUCAAACUAGAGUGUGGUAGGGGUAGAGGGAAUUUCCAGUGGAGCGGUGAAAUGCGUAGAUAUUGGAAAGACCACCGAUGGCGAAGGCACUCUACUGGGCCAUUACUGACACUGAGAGACGAAAGCUAGGGGAGCAAAUGGG